AAAUGAUUAAUUUGACAUCUUCUUGAUCAUAGCCUUUGAAUUGAUGAUUCUUCAUUUGUGAUAUAAGAUCAAAUUGAUUUUAAAAUCAUGGCAUGGAUGUGGACAACUAUGGCAAUAGACAUUAGAAGGAUCUGAUUGUACUCGUUACAACAAAGGCUAUAUGGGAUAAUUUUUAUCAACCUUAUUCCAAAGCUCGUGAUGUGACCC
rnacentral:lncRNA from 1 species